rnacentral:rRNA from 1 species
UACAGAGGGUGCAAGCGUUAAUCGGAAUUACUGGGCGUAAAGCGCACGCAGGCGGUCAUGUAAGUCGGGUGUGAAAUCCCCGGGCUCAACCUGGGAACUGCAUUCGAGACUGCAUGGCUAGAGUACGGUAGAGGAGGGCGGAAUUCCCGGUGUAGCGGUGAAAUGCGUAGAUAUCGGGAGGAACAUCAGUGGCGAAGGCGGCCCUCUGGACCAGUACUGACGCUCAGGUGCGAAAGCGUGGGGAGCAAACAGG